rnacentral:rRNA from 1 species
CGAAGGGUGCAAGCGUUAAUCGGAAUUACUGGGCGUAAAGCGUGCGUAGGCGGUUGGCUAAGUCAGAUGUGAAAGCCCUGGGCUCAACCUGGGAAUGGCAUUUGAAACUGGCCGGCUAGAGUGUGAUAGAGGAUGGCGGAAUUCCCGGUGUAGCGGUGAAAUGCGUAGAGAUCGGGAGGAACAUCCGUGGCGAAGGCGGCCAUCUGGAUCAACACUGACGCUGAGGCACGAAAGCGUGGGGAGCAAACAGGAUUAGAUACCCUGGUAGUCCACGCCCUAAACGAUGCGAACUGGAUGUUGGUCUCAACUCGGAGAUCAGUGUCGAAGCUAACGCGUUAAGUUCGCCGCCUGGGGAGUACGGUCGCAAGACUG